AUUCCAGCUCCAAUAGCGUAUAUUAAAGUUGUUGCAGUUAAAACGCUCGUAGUUGGAUUUCUGACUUCAGAUACCUGACCCUCCCUCGCUAGAGGUGUGUGUGCCGGAGUAUUUGUAUCAUCCUUUCAGUGAUCGGCUCUACCCUUAACCGGGUCAGAGCUGCUAGCUGGAUCUUUUACUUUGAAGAAAUUGGAGUGUUUAAAGCAGGCUUACGCCAGAACAUAUUAGCAUGGAAUAAUAAUUUUGGACUUUUGUUCUAUUUUGUUGGUUUCUAGGACGAAAGUAAUGAUUGAUAGGGAUAGUUGGGGGUGCUAGUAUUCGGCGGCCAGAGGUGAAACUCUUUGAUCCGCUGAAGACUAACUUAUGCGAAAGCAUUCACCAAGGAUGUCUUCAUUA
rnacentral:rRNA from 1 species